AAAGUUGAUCGGGCAGUCGCGUCUGACCAAUAAAGUGUUUCAUUAUUACAUGUGGCUAUUAAAUAUAGCUAGAUUUAUAUAAGAUAGCUUUAGUGGUUAGAUGAGGAAAGUCCGGGCUUUAUAGAGCAAGAUGCCAGAUAACAUCUGGGAGGUGUGAGCCUACGGAAAGUGCAACAGAAAAUAUACCGCCUUGUUAAAAAGGUAAGGGUGAAAAGGUGUGGUAAGAGCACACCGCAUUGGUGGUAACACUCAAUGGCAUUGUAAACCCCAUCUAAAGCAAGACCAAAUAGUGCUACAAUAGUGUUGCUCGCACUGUAGCAGGGUAGGUCGCUUGAGCUUGUUGGUGACAGCAAGCCUAGAUAAAUGGCUGCUUAUUACAGAACCCGGCUUAUAGAUUAACUUUGUAU
rnacentral:RNase_P_RNA from 1 species